rnacentral:rRNA from 1 species
UGGAUUAUGUGGAUUAAUUCGAUGCAACGCGAAAAACCUUACCUACCCUUGACAUGCUAGGAACUUGCCAGAGAUGGCUUGGGUGCCCGAAAGGGAACCUAGACACAGGUGCUGCAUGGCUGUGUCAGCUCGUGUCGUGAGAUGUUGGGUUAAGUCCCGCAACGAGCGCAACCCUUGUCAUUAAUUGCCAUCAUUCAGUUGGGCACUUUAAUGAGACUGCCGGUGACAAACCGGAGGAAGGUGGGGAUGACGUCAAGUCCUCAUGGCCCUUAUGGGUAGGGCUUCACACGUAAUACAAUGGUCGGUACAGAGGGUUGCCAACCCGCGAGGGGGAGCCAAUCCCAGAAAACCGAUCGUAGUCCGGAUUGCAGUCUGCAACUCGACUGCAUGAAGUCGGAAUCGCUAGUAAUCGCGGAUCAGCAUGUCCGCGGUUCCGAAUACGUUCCGGGCCUU